rnacentral:rRNA from 1 species
UACAGAGGGUGCGAGCGUUGUUCGGAAUUAUUGGGCGUAAAGCGCUUGUAGGCGGCACGUCAAGUCGCGUGUGAAAUCCCCAGGCUUAACCUGGGAAGUGCGCGCGAAACUGACGAGCUUGAGUGCCGGAGAGGGUCGCGGAAUUCCCGGUGUAGAGGUGAAAUUCGUAGAUAUCGGGAGGAACACCAGUGGCGAAGGCGGCGACCUGGACGGACACUGACGGCUGAGACGCGAAAGCGUGGGGAGCAAACAGGG